UACGGGGGGGGGCAAGCGUUGUUCGGAAUUAUUGGGCGUAAAGCGCGCGCAGGCGGUCCUUUAAGUCUGAUGUGAAAGCCCACGGCUCAACCGUGGAGGGUCAUUGGAAACUGGGGGACUUGAGUACAGAAGAGGAAAGUGGAAUUCCACGUGUAGCGGUGAAAUGCGUAGAGAUGUGGAGGAACACCAGUGGCGAAGGCGACUUUCUGGUCUGUAACUGACGCUGAGGCGCGAAAGCGUGGGGAGCAAACAGG
rnacentral:rRNA from 1 species